rnacentral:rRNA from 1 species
AGCGAACGCUGGCGGCGUGCUUAACACAUGCAAGUCGAACGAAGGCUUCGGCCUUAGUGGCGGACGGGUGAGUAACGCGUGGGAAUCUACCUUACGGCGGGGAAUAACAGUUGGAAACGACUGCUAAUACCGCAUACGCCCUUCGGGGGAAAAGGCUUUCGGCCACCGUUUGAGGAUCCCGCGUCCGAUUAGCUAGUUGGUAGGUAACGGCCUACCAAGGCGACGAUCGGUAGCUGGUCUGAGAGGAUGAUCAGCCACACUGGGACUGAGACACGGCCCAGACUCC